UUUAUAUUUAGUCUGGUGUGUUUCUGCUCUGCCAGAUUGUCCUGAAGAAGAGGGAUAACAUCCAGGCUGAAUACGAGGCGAAACUGGAAGCUGCUGCCUUCCGGAAAGAGGAAAGAGCAUCAUGCACACAGGUGCCUACAGACGUGGAGAAGUGCCAUGACAGAGUGGAGUGUUGCAAUGCUGACCUGAAGUCAGACUGGGACCGCUGGCAGAACAACAAGAGACAAGACUUCAGACAGUUACUCACUGGCAUGGCAGACCACAACAUCCAGUACUAUGAGAAGUGCCUUGCAGCGUGGGAGUCUGUCAUUCCAC